GACGAACGCUGGCGGCGUGCUUAACACAUGCAAGUCGAACGGUGAAGCUCCAGCUUGCUGGAGUGGAUCAGUGGCGAACGGGUGAGUAACACGUGAGCAACCUGCCCCUUACUCUGGAAUAAGCGCUGGAAACGGCGUCUAAUACUGGAUACGAGAAGGGUCCGCAUGGGCACUUUCUGGAAAGUUUUUCGGUUGGGGAUGGGCUCGCGGCCUAUCAGCUUGUUGGUGAGGUAAUGGCUCACCAAGGCGACGACGGGUAGCCGGCCUGAGAGGGCGACCGGCCACACUGGGACUGAGAAACGGCCCAGACUCCUACGGGAGGCAGCAGUGGGGAAUAUUGCACAAUGGGCGAAAGCCUGAUGCAGCGACGCCGCGUGAGGGAUGACGGCCUUCGGGUUGUAAACCUCUUUCAGCAGGGAAGAAGCGAAAGUGACGGUACCUGCAGAAGAAGCACCGGCUAACUACGUG
rnacentral:rRNA from 1 species